rnacentral:rRNA from 1 species
UACGUAGGGGGCAAGCGUUGUCCGGAUUUAUUGGGCGUAAAGAGCGUGUAGGCGGUUUGGUAGGUCCGUUGUGAAAACUCGAGGCUCAACCUCGAGACGCCGAUGGAAACCAUCAGACUAGAGUCCGGAAGAGGAGAGUGGAAUUCCUGGUGUAGCGGUGAGAUGCGCAGAUAUCAGGAGGAACACCGGUGGCGAAGGCGGGUCUCUGGGCAACAACUGACGCUGAGGAGCGAAAGCGUGGGGAGCGAACAGG